rnacentral:rRNA from 1 species
AUGCACGCUGGCGGCGUGCUUAACACAUGCCAGUCGAACGAUGAAGCCCAGCUUGCUGGGUGGAUUAGUGGCGAACGGGUGAGUAACACGUGAGUAACCUGCCCUUAACUCUGGGAUAAGCCUGGGAAACUGGGUCUAAUACCGGAUAGGAGCGCCUACCGCAUGGUGGGUGUUGGAAAGAUUUAUCGGUUUUGGAUGGACUCGCGGCCUAUCAGCUUGUUGGUGAGGUAAUGGCUCACCAAGGCGACGACGGGUAGCCGGCCUGAGAGGGUGACCGGCCACACUGGGACUGAGACACGGCCCAGACUCCUACGGGAGGCAGCAGUGGGGAAUAUUGCACAAUGGGCGAAAGCCUGAUGCAGCGACGCCGCGUGAGGGAUGACGGCCUUCGGGUUGUAAACCUCUUUCAGUAGGGAAGAAGCGAAAGUGACGGUACCUGCAGAAGAAGCACCGGCUAACUACGUG